ACCACACAAGAUUAGCCACGCACAUCACACCACUCAGCGAAAUCAAUGUCAGCAAGCUUACGUAGUAGGCUGUGACGGUGCCGGCAGAGUUUCCGGCAACAAGCUUGAGCUGCAUGUCGAUCUUGCCGAAGAGGUACUCGUGCUUGGACUGGAACCCGGAGCCGGAGAUCUUGUCCAGCCCCAGCGUCAGGAGCUGCCCAUUAUUCAGGAUCUUGCCGCGGCCGUCACCCCACGUGAUGUCGAACUCCUUGUCGAAGCUCGCCGCCGCCGCAACGG